rnacentral:rRNA from 1 species
UCUAGUGGCGGACGGGUGAGUAACGCGUGGGUAACCUGCCUUAUACAGGGGGAUAACAGUCAUAAAUGGCUGCUAAUACCGCAUAAGCGCACAUAGCUGCAUGGCUCAGUGUGAAAAACUCCGGUGGUAUAAGAUGGACCCGCGUUGGAUUAGCUUGUUGGUGAGGUAACGGCCCACCAAGGCGACGAUCCAUAGCCGGACUGAGAGGGUGAACGGCCACAUUGGGACUGAAACACGGCCCAGACUCCUACGGGAGGCAGCAGUGGGGAAUAUUGCACAAUGGGGGAAACCCUGAUGCAGCGACGCCACGUGAAGGAAAAAGUAUCUCGGUAUGUAAACUUCUAUCAACAGGGAAGAUAGUGACGGAACCUGACUAAUAAGCCCCGGCUAACUACCUGCCAGCAGCCGCGGUAAUACGUAUGGGGCAAGCGUUAUCCGGAUUUACUGGCUGUAAAGGGAGAAGUAAGCGGUGGGGCAAAGUUCGAUGUGAAAAGUCAUGGGCUCAACCUGUGGACUGCAUUGGAAACUGUCAUACUUGAGUGCGGGAGGGGUAAGCGGAAUUGGUAGUGUAGCGGUGAAAUGCGUAGAUAUUAGGAGGAACACCAGUGGCGAAGGCGAAGUACUGGACGGUAACUGACGUUGAGGCUCGAAAGCGUGGAGAGCAAACAGGAUUAGAUACCAUGGUAGUCCACGCUGUAAACGAUGAAUAAUAGGUGUCGGGGAGCAUGGCUCUUCGGUGCUGUCGCAAACGCAGUAAGUAUUCCAUCUGGGGAGUACGUUCGCAAGAAUGAAACUCAAAGGAAUUGACGGGGACCCGCACAAGCGGUGGAGCAUGUGGUUUAAUUUGAAGCAACGCGAAGAACGUUACCAAAUCUUGACAUCCCUCUGACCGGUCUUUAAUCGGACAUUCUAUUCGGAGCAGAGGUGACAGGUGGUGCAUGGUUGUCGUCAGCUCGUGUCGUGAGAUGUUGGGUUAAGUCCCGCAACGAGCGCAACCCCUAUCCUCAGUAGCCAGCAUUUAAGGUGGGCAUUCUGGGGAGACUGCCAGGGAUAACCUGGAGGAAGGCGGGGAUGACGUCAAAUCAUCAUGCCCCUUAUGAUUUGGGCUACACACGUGCUACAAUGGCGUAAACAAAGGGAAGCGAGAUUGUGAGAUGGAGCAAAUCUCAAAAACAACGUCCCAGUUCGGACUGUAGUCUGCAACCCGACUACACGAAGUUGGAAUCGCUAGUAAUCGCGGAUCAGAAUGCCGCGGUGAAUACGUUCCCGGGUCUUGUACACACCGCCCGUCACACCAUGGGAGUCAGUAACGCCCGAAGUCAGUGACCUAACUGCAAAGAAGGAGCUGCCGAAGGCGGGACCGAUGACUGGGGUGA